AUGCUCUGAUUUCUCUUCAGAUCACACAAAAUCUUUUGCCUUUUACUAGAGAUUUACAUGGAGAGGAACAAAUCUGAGUUUCAGCUCAAUUUUUGAGACACUAUUACGC
rnacentral:snRNA from 1 species